rnacentral:rRNA from 1 species
UACGGAGGGUGCAAACGUUGCUCGGAAUCAUUGGGCGUAAAGCGCACGUAGGCGGCCUGAUAAGUCGGGUGUGAAAGCCCUGGGCUCAACCCAGGAAGUGCACUCGAAACUGUCAGGCUUGAAUAUGGAAGAGGGUCGCGGAAUUCCCGGUGUAGAGGUGAAAUUCGUAGAUAUCUGGAGGAACACCAGUGGCGAAGGCGGCGACCUGGGCCAAUAUUGACGCUGAGGUGCGAAAGCGUGGGGAGCGAACAGG